rfam:Parcubacteria (Nomurabacteria) bacterium GW2011_GWC2_35_8 TR91_C0050, whole genome shotgun sequence.
AGUAAUGUAGUUUAAGGGCGUACGGUGGAUGCCUUGACUUUAAGAGGCGAUGAAGGACGUGGCGUUGCUGCGAUAAGCUUCGGGGAGGUGCUUAGCAACCUUUGAUCCGAAGAUUUCCGAAUGGGGAAACCCUGUCCCGACGUUUACGUCGGGACAAUUUUAACGUUUAUCGUUAAAGAGCGCACCCUGGGAAGUGAAACAUCUCAGUACCAGGAGGAGUAGAAACAAAUAUGCAUUUCCCCAGUAGCGGCGAGCGAAAAGGAAGGAGCCCAAACUUUAGUCGCAAGACUAGAGGGUUGUAAGGUAGCAAUUUUUAUUUAAUUAGAGAGGAGUCAAAAAAUAAGUUAUUAGCUUAAGUUGCUGGAAAGCGACACCAUAGGGGGUGAUAGUCCCGUGAGCGAAAAUAAUUUAUCUCUUUUAUUGCUAUUCUUGAGUACCCCAGGACAUGAAAAGAUCGAUAGUGAACUAGUACCGUGAGGGAAAGGUGAAAAGCAGCCCGAUUAGGGCGGUGAAAUAGACCUGAAACCGUAUGUCUACAAGGAGUCGAACCUCGUCUUCGGAUGAGGAACGGCGUGCCUAUUGAAGAAUGAGCCAACGAGUUUAUUCAUGUUGCUGGCGAAGCUGGCUAAAACAGCAGAGCCAAAGGGAAACCGAGUGUUAAUAGCGCGAAAUUAAAGUAACAUGCAUAAGACCCGAAACCUAGUGAGCUUGCCAUGAGCAGGUUGAAGUUCGUCGAAAGACGGAUGGAGGACCGAACCGGUAGAUCGUACAACGUCUUCGGAUGACUUGUGGUAAGGAGUGAAAAGCUAAUCGAACUAGGUAAUAGCUGGUUCUCUCCGAAAUAGCUUUAGGGCUAGCGUCGUGUGUUUUCUUUGGGGGUAGAGCACUGGAAGGUUCGGACAGGUCGCAAGAUCGCUGAACCUAUCAAACUCCGAAUACCAGAGACCAAACACGGCAGUCAGGCUAUGGGGGCGAAGCUCCAUUAGCCAAAAGGGAAACAGCCCGGAUCUCUAAAUAAGGUCCCUAAAUAUAUACUAAGUGUAAAACAAGAAGGUGAAGUUUCUUAAACAAUGAGGAGGUUGGCUUAGAAGCAGCCAUCCUUUAAAGAUAGCGUAACAGCUCACUCAUCUAGAGAUUUUGCGUCGAAAAUAAUUGG